GGCUGGUCCGAUGGUAGUGGGUUAUCAGAACUUAUUAACAUUAGUGUCACUAAAGUUGGUAUACAACCCCCCACUGCUAGAUUUGACUGGCUUUU
rnacentral:Y_RNA from 12 species